UUCCUAAGGCUACACAUGUCUGACGGAUCAACAGUGUGCACAACAGGUGACACAGUCCCCGCCCUCACAGUCCUGCCCCCCUCCAGUGUGGAGGUGAAGCAGGGGAAGGCCACACUGGUGUGUCUGGCAAACAAGGGCUUCCCGUCAGACUGGACUCUGCGCUGGAAAGUGGACGGUACCAGUAGGAGCUCGGGCGUGGCCGGGAGCGCCGGGGUCCUGGGGAAGGAUGGCCUGUACAGCUGGAGCAGCUCCCUGACUCUCAGUGCGGACGACUGGAUGAAGGCGGGGUCACUGACCUGUGAGGCCACAAAGGGCUCCCAGGCUGCCCCCCCUCAGACACUGAGGAGAGCUGACUGUGCUGAGUAGGGCGGGUGCAGGCCCAGCUCACACACUCUGAUCACACUGUGUUUACCCUGCUCUGCUCUCAGCCUCUCUGCUCCUUGCUGCUGCACACUGAGCUGGGCCUGUGUGUGAAUCCUUCCUCCAGCCUGAGCUGUCACUGCUAAUGUCUCAUACGUGCUCUGCUUGUGUCCUCACAAAUAUGCAUAUCUGCCUUCUUAUUUGUGUUUGUGUGAUUUUGGCAAGAGCUGUUAGAUAAAAAUCAUUGAAAUAAUAAAGAUUCUUUGAAAAGU